GGAAGGGUAAGAGCCUCUCACCGGGGACUGGAGGGAACAGUCUCCGUUUCAAUGGAAUAAAAACUGCGCAAUUUUCUAUUGAGGACUCCCUGCUCCGGAUUAAUGCUCCGCACCGUGAAGGCAACAUCUGACGCAGCGUUUGGUGGAUUAUUGAGGCCAUCCGUUGCUGGAUUUUUUUUAAAUUUAUUUGAUUUUUUUUUUUUUUUUUUGGGAGGAUUCACCAGCUUAUGUUUUGAACCCUGUGUUUUUCAGAGAGGGGGGGGGGAAGCAGGCGCUGUGAUGUGACUGUGCAGGGAUGCACGCAGUUUUAUCCGUCAUGCCUUGCUCAUGGGUGUCCAUGGGCGAUCCGUGCGCUGUCCCUGAACGCGUCGUGGAUGUUGAAUGGGGUUUUCAUUUUUUGGAAGGGGCUGCGUCAGAGGUGGACUACUGUGCACAUUUUCCACGGCGCAUCCCCGGCUGCACGUUUAGGGAUCGGAUUGGAAAAGAUGGUCCUGUUCACCACAUGACUGUUCUUCAAUGUCUGUGUUCAACCACCUUCAGAGAGAGAAGCAGUGAGGAACAUGGCGAAGUGUGA
rnacentral:lncRNA from 1 species